UUAGAAAAUUCUUUAACAUCAAUUAGAAACUUGAGCCAUAUAACAGUGAUUUAAUAGCAAUUAGUCUUGUAGAAAUGUGCCAUCUGUUUUCAAUUAACCUCAGUCUGGACAGGUCACAGGAAGUACUAUCUCCACAGAGAUUGAGGCCAUAUGUAGGAGAACACAUUUCGAAAUACAUAUUUCUGCAAUUACUAUCACUUUUAUUAAAAAUUUCAUAAUUAAACAAAUUAAUAAUUGAUUUUCUUUUUUUAAUCUAUCACAUAUUCAAAAUUAAGGCACAUGCAAUUAGUCAUAAGAGGAACAUUUAAAACAACUCCUUAAACAACCUCAUGUAUUGCAAUACAACACAAUUUGAUUUUGGAAUAAACAGGAAGAUGUGUCUUCUUUCUUGAACAAAAUAAGAAUUUUACAUAAUUGUGUGUAAAGCAAAUGUUUGGAAGUAGUUCUUUUCACAUUAAAUAGAGAAGAUGGAUCCUUCUGACUGGCAUCAAUGACAAAAUUAUUUAGGAAGAUUGCUGUUUGCAUGUGUUUUGGAUUGCAUAUUCUGAUUAUAGCAAGGGAUGCAUGAUGCAAAUUAAAUCAGAAGAACCAACCAUCUGAAGAAAAACUGAGCAGUGGCGGAUCCAGGGGGAGGGUUCCGGGGGUUGGACCACCCCCCCCCCUUUAUCCUGAGUUAGGAACCCCCCUUUUGAAAAUGGCAGGAUUUGCCCCUGCUGAGAUCAUCUUUAAAAGUCAAACCGCACUUUUUGAAGUCCAGCUGGACUUUUUAAAGUUCAGCCGUACUUUGUAAAGUCCGGCUGAACUUUAUAGAGUCCAUAUUUUUGCCAUAAAUGCCGGCUGGAUUUUUAUUCAGACGUACUUUUUUUAAAGUCCAGCUGGACUUCAUGAACCGGACUCCUGCUAAUUUAAAUAUUUCGAGCCGGUUUACGGCUAAUUUCGCUGAAAGUCCAGCCGGGGUAUCUAUUAUAAGCAAUUCAAAGAAAAGUCCAAAUGAAUAUUAUAAGUACGGUUCUCAGUACGGCUA